rnacentral:rRNA from 1 species
AUUGAACGCUGGCGGCAGGCCUAACACAUGCAAGUCGAGCGGUAGAGAGGUGCUUGCAUCUCUUGAGAGCGGCGGACGGGUGAGUAAUGCCUAGGAAUCUGCCUAGUGGUGGGGGGAUAACGUUCGGAAACGGACGCUAAUACCGCAUACGUUCUACGGGAGAAAGCGGGGGAUCUUCGGACCUCGCGCCAUUAGAUGAGCCUAGGUCGGAUUAGCUAGUUGGUGAGGCAAUGGCUCACCAAGGCGACGAUCCGUAACUGGUCUGAGAGGAUGAUCAGUCACACUGGAACUGAGACACGGUCCAGACUCCUACGGGAGGCAGCAGUGGGGAAUAUUGGACAAUGGGCGCAAGCCUGAUCCAGCCAUGCCGCGUGUGUGAAGAAGGCC